rfam:Ovis aries breed Texel chromosome 14, whole genome shotgun sequence.
UCCCUGGUGGCUCAGACGGUAAAGCGUCUGUCUAGAAUGCAGGAGAUCUGGGUUCAAACCCUGGGUUGGGAA